GACGAACGCUGGCGGCGUGCCUAAUACAUGCAAGUCGAACGCUUCUUUCCUCCCGAGUGCUUGCACUCAAUUGGAAAGAGGAGUGGCGGACGGGUGAGUAACACGUGGGUAACCUACCCAUCAGAGGGGGAUAACACUUGGAAACAGGUGCUAAUACCGCAUAACAGUUUAUGCCGCAUGGCAUAAGAGUGAAAGGCGCUUUCGGCUGUCGCUGAUGGAUGGACCCGCGGUGCAUUAGCUAGUUGGUGGGGUAACGGCUCACCAAGGCCACGAUGCAUAGCCGACCUGAGAGGGUGAUCGGCCACACUGGGACUGAGACACGGCCAAGACGCCUACGGGAGGCAGCAGUAGGGAAUCGUAGGCAAUGGACGAAAGUAUGACCGAGCAAGGCCGAGUGAGUGAAGAAGGUUUUCGGAUCGUAAAACUCUGUUGUGAGAGAAGAACAGGGACGUUAGUAACUGAACGUCGCCUGACGGUAUCUAACCAGAAAGCCACGGCUAACUACGUG
rnacentral:rRNA from 1 species